AGCAGCCGCGGUAAUUCCAGCUCCAAUAGCGUAUAUUAAAGUUGUUGCAGUUAAAAGCUCGUAGUUGAAUUUUGGGAUCAAUAUGUUGGUCGUGCCUCGGUACGUACUAGCAUAUUGGUUUCUCCUUUCUGAAGAACCAUGAUGUCAUUUAUUUGGUGUCGUGGGGAAUCAGGACUGUUACUUUGAAAAAAUUAGAGUGUUUAAAGCAGGCUCACGCUUGAAUACAUUAGCAUGGAAUAAUGAAAUAGGACGUUUGAUUCUAUUUUGUUGGUUUCUAGGAUCGACGUAAUGAUUAAUAGGGAUAGUUGGGGGCAUUAGUAUUCAAUUGUCAGAGGUGAAAUUCUUGGAUUUAUUGAAGACUAACUACUGCGAAAGCAUUUGCCAAGGAUGUUUUCAUUAAUCAAGAACGAAAGUUAGGGGAUCGAAGAUGAUCAGAUACCGUCGUAGUCUUAACCAUAAACUAUGCCGACUAGGGAUCGGAUGAUGUUAAUUUUUUUGAAUGACUCA
rnacentral:misc_RNA from 1 species